GCCUGGUCACACGGUACUGGUGCGGACUGCCGUGGACUCCAUCGCCCUCACUCGUAAUGAGAAGGUCAAGGGUUCGAUUCCCUUGGGCGGCUCCA
rnacentral:tRNA from 1 species